CAGGCGAGGGACCGGAAGCUGAAAAAGGCGAGGGACCGGAUUCGCGUCUGGAGCCUCCAGAAGGAGCCAGCCCUGCUGAAACUUUGACUUCAGUCCAGAGACAUGGAUUUGGGACUUCUGGCCUCCAGAACCAGGCUUGCCCUGGGUCAAGGCUGUGGAUGGGCCUCCGAGGCCCCAGUGUGCCCACCGCAUCCUGACAUCAGUUACUUCCACGGUGCUAGAGCCUCCCCAGUGUGGCGACUCCAUCUGCAUUGAGUUUCCUCAACGUGGCGGCUUCUGUGGCUCAGCGAUGCCCAGGGAGUCCCGAAGACCCCAGAGAAGAAAGGCUGCCUGGGUCAUCUGGGGACCGGGAAUCCCUGGGACUCACGUGUGGCUGGGAAGGAGACAGAAGGUGCUGGACACAGAGGGGCCAUGCCAAUAGGACCGCGGCCUCUCACUGUCACCUGCGGGAACACAGCCCUCCCUCCCCGCAUACCUUCCCACCUCUGAACACUCAGACUCUUUCCAAGCCCCCAGACUCAGAGAGGCGACAGGAUGGCAUGAAACGCCAGGGAUCAAUGGGGGGACCAACCUUAACAAGAAAUGGGCAAGACCUUUGUUUAAAAAAACAACAUUCAGGUCCUACAGGGGGACCCAAAAGAAGACUUUAUCACUUUAUCACAUGCAAAGCCACCCCUUGGCUUAGAGGGGAAGACCUGGUAUCCCACACAUGUAAUUAUUCUCCAAGUUAAUCCAUGAAUUUAAUGAAUUACCAAUAAAAAAAUACCAACAGGACUUUUCCCCCCAGGAACUAGAUAAGCUCAAUCAAAUGUUCACAUGGAAAAAUAAACAAGCAAACACAUGCCGGAGAAUGCUGAAAAUGAGGAGUAAUGAGAGUGGUGGAAUUGAUUUCAUCCGAUAUUAAAACGUAUCAUAAAGCUACAGCAAUUACAGCAAUGACACACAUGCAGUGUAUGAAUAAAUAAAGAGACCAAUGGAGCAAAAAUAGGAAGUCUAUAAUAGAAACAAAUUCAUGCCAAAGUUUAGUAAACAAUAAAAGUGGAACCUCACAUCAGUGGGGCAGAAUAAAUUAUUCAUUAAAUGAUAUAGGAUUAACUGAGUAAAGAAAUAGUUUGGGGUCUAUAACUUACACUUUGUACUAGGAUUAAUUCCAAAUGGAUCAAGUAUUUAAAUGUAAAAAAGGAACCAUAAGAAUAUUAGGAGAACACACAAGGAGAAUUCUUUUAUCAUUUUAAAGUUGGGAAGGCCUUUUAAGUAGGACACUUAACCAGGAAACCAGAAAAGAAAAGAUUGAUACUUUUAGAUACAUAAGUAUCAAAAAUGUCUUUAUGGGAAAAGCAUCAGAAACAAGUCAAAAGGCAAAUAACCUGACAAAAAUUCUUGAAACUCAUGCUAUUUCUCAAAUGCUAGUUUCUCUAAUAGGUAAAGAUCUCCUGCAAAUUAAUAAGAAAAAGACCAACAGCCCGGUAGAAAGUCAGGAAAGGAUAUGAACAGACAGUUCACAGGAAAGAAAAUACAAACAGCUCUUAAACAUAUGAAAAAUGCUCAAGUUCAUUCACAAUAAGAAAAUCUCAAAUUAAAGUAAGAUACAAUUUUCCUUCUUCAUAAUGGCAAAAACAAGUUUGAUAAGGCCCUGAUUUGUCAAGGAGUGAAGAAACAGACCAUCUUGUACCUUGAGUGUUAAUUUCCAUGGCAGGAAACUUAGAGACAUCUUCACCCCCUGGGAGCCAGCAGGUCCGUGGCUGGAAAUUUGUACAGAUGCACGCUCGUGUGAACAAGGCAACGGGAGUGCAGGUUGUUCAUUGCAGCACUGUUUGCAUAGCUAAAGAAUGAAAAUAAGUGAAAUACCAUCAAGACCAAUAAUGGUACCUCCCUAUGGAAUACCAUGCAGUUGGAAAAAACAAUUAGGAAGCUCUUUAUGUAUUGCUAUGGAAAUUUCUCCAAGAUAUUUUCAGUGGGCAAAAAGUGUAUAACAUACACACAAGGCGUGUAAUAUACUACUAUUUGGGUCAAAAUAGGAAGAAAGGCACACAUAGCCAUGUGUAUGGAAUCUGUCUGAAAGGAUACACAAGAAGUUGAUACCUUCGGCUCCCUCUGGGAGAGGGUUGGGGUCCAGAAGCAGGGGAGAGAUUUGCUGUUCUCUGCACAAACUUCUGUACCUGUCCAUGUACCUACUUCUUCAGAAAAAAAUGGAUUUUUAAAAAUAAGGAAUGAAUAAUAUGGAGAUUCAGUGAA